rfam:Schistocephalus solidus strain NST_G2 genome assembly, scaffold: SSLN_scaffold0008273
GGGCUCGUGGCUCAAUGGUAGAGCGUUCGACUCAAUUACCAAAGGUUGCGGGUUCGAAUCCCGUGGUCCA